rnacentral:rRNA from 1 species
AUGUACUGGGUGCCUGCCUACUUCAUGCAGUGCUUCUUCUCGUUUCUGCAGACUAUGCAGCGCAGCGAGGGGUUCAAUGCUGUUUUGAAGCGGUACGUGGGCCCUGGCAACUCAUUGCUACAGUUUGCCAAGCAGUACACAGCUUUGCAACAAAAAAUACUGGGAUCUGAGCUACAGCAAGAAGCGAACACCGCACUAAAGCAGCCAAAAAUGCUAAUGUAUUUACCGAUGGAGAGGCAAAUGAGCAAGAUAUACACCAAAAAGAUCUUUAACAAGUAA